CUGGAUUAUAGUAGAAAUGAUUGAUUUUCACUUCGGUGGAGAUUAUGAGUCUUUACUAUUGCUAGUCUUAGCGGCGAACGGGUGAGUAGCGCGUGAAUAAUCUACCCUUGAAAGCGGGAUACCAUUCCGAAAGGAAUGCUAAUACCGCAUAACGUUAUGAAACACAGGUUUCAUAACCAAAGUUGAGCUUUCGGGUUCUUCGUUCAAGGAUGAGUUCGCGUCCUAUUAGCUAGUUGGUGAGGUAAAGGCUCACCAAGGCUAUGAUGGGUAGCCGGCCUGAGAGGGCGUACGGCCACACUGGGACUGAGACACGGCCCAGACUCCUACGGGAGGCAGCAGUAGGGAAUCUUCCGCAAUGGGCGAAAGCCUGACGGAGCGAUGCCACGUGGAUGAUGAAGGCCUUCGGGUUGUAAAAUCCUGUUAGGGGGGACGAUGGUCAAUCUUCGGAUUGAUUGACGGUACCUCCAGAGGAAGCUCCGGCCAACUACGUGCCAGCAGCCGCGGUAAUACGUAGGGAGCAAGCGUUGUUCGGAUUUACUGGGCGUAAAGAGUGCGUAGGUGGCCAUAUAAGUCAAGGGUGAAAUCUCUACUUUCAAGGUAGAAACUGCCUUUGAUACUGUAUGGCUAGAGGGCAAGAGGGGGAAAUGGAACUCUGGGAGUAGCGGUGAAAUGCGUAGAUAUCCAGAGGAACGCCAGUAGCGAAGGCGGUUUCCUGGCUUGCUUCUGACACUGAGGCACCAAAGCUAGGGGAGCGAUCGGGAUUAGAGACCCCGGUAGUCCUAGCCCUAAACGAUGGGUACUAAGUGUGGGGGGAGCAUUACCCUCUGUGCUGAAGCUAACGCGUUAAGUACCCCGCCUGGGGAGUA
rnacentral:rRNA from 1 species